GUACAGUACUCCAGCAGGGCUUAUAUAGACAAACCAAACCCAGCCAAAUCAAACCUCCCCAAAUCCAACAUUUCCUGCAUGUCCAAAAUGGGAGACAGGCGCCUGAGUAACCCGGGGCAAGCCGGCGCCUCGGUUCCUGCCCAGCUGGAUUUGGGGGGCAGCAUUGCCUGGCGCAGGGAGAUCAAAUGAGACUGCAAAGAAGCAUAAAAUGAAUAGACAAUCCAACCAACCAAAGGAAAUUGCUUUGGAGAUGAGGAAACAAACUCUUAUGGAGACCUAAGAGACUGAAGACAUCUGGCGUGGACUACUCUGAUGGUAAAAUUGAAAGUACACCUAAAUUUGCUUUGUUACAGGAUUCUCUUCAGAGGACAAGAGAAGAUGUUACAUUCUCUGCAUGAGGACAAUUCUGCAGCAUCAAAAUCGAAUAAUAUUUGUUUUCUGGCAGCAGAAUUUUGUAUCAUAUUUCUAAAGACAGUAAGCACUUGGGUGGACGUCAAUGAAUACUAAACACUAAUUGAUCUGAUACAGCCGUAUGCACAUACACAGAUAUACAUGGUGGCUUGUAAUGGUUGAAAAAUUACGGUUUGGUUUUAUUAAAAGAUCUGUCACUUUUAGGUCAGAGUGGGAUUUUGGAGGGAUAGUCUCCCACAAUAGAAAACUACCCUGACAACAGUGGUGUUUUGAGGUUGUUUGUUGUUUGGCUUCUUGAUGAUGCUUAGCUAAGGAGACACUUCCUUUCAGAUUCUGUCUUCCAAACCCCAGGGCUCUGUUCUGGGCAGUUCAGCCUAAUGGAAUUAAGCCUGACAUGUUUCAACUCUAUUUCUUGAUAAAAUAAACAUAAAACAAUGGUUUAGAUUUCGAAUAAAACUCUUGAAGCAUGG
rnacentral:lncRNA from 1 species